UGCCUGGCGGCUUUAGCGCGGUGGUCCCACCUGACCCCAUGCCGAACUCAGAAGUGAAACGCCGUAGCGCCGAUGGUAGUGUGGGGCCUCCCCAUGCGAGAGUAGGGAACUGCCAGGCAUU
rnacentral:rRNA from 1 species